GUCAGCAGCCAUAUCACCCUGCAGCCCAAUACUGGUUGCCCACUGAAGCUAAGCAGGGUUGAGCCUGGUCAGGAUGGUCUGGAUGGGAGACCUCCUGGGAAAACUAGGUUGUUGCUGGAA
rnacentral:rRNA from 1 species